rnacentral:lncRNA from 1 species
CACACUAAACAAAUAGUAAAGAGUCAGAAACUUAAUUAGGUUGACAUGAGCAGCUUUUUUCCCCCUUUUCAUGAAGGCAUUAUAGGCUAAGAGCAUAGUUGUGCUUUUUGCUGGGAUUAUUCUUAGUUUUUGGGAGGACGUAAUUAUGGUGAUAACUCCCCAGGUUCUACAACGACUGCCAUGAGUCCUUUAUUUUCGACCUCUUGAACAGCUUUGAAAAUCAUAGCUUUAUGUAUUUAUAUUCUGUUUCAUAAGACAGAAUUUCAAAAUUUGAAUUCUGUUCCUGGGUAUCCUGUUUACUUCUGUAAGAACUUAUAUAAACCCGUUGUUCUCUCCUAACACUUUAGUUUCUGAAGGUGUACAAGGCGAAGCAAAACUGGAAGGUACCCUCCCAAUCUUCCCAGCCAUGGUUCUAAAAUAUAAGCCACUGCACCUGUUGUUACCAUCAUGCCUGUUGUUACUGUUACUGAUGUGACUUCAGUUACCGCCAUGGUGGCUGUUACUACUCCUGUUGUUGCUGCUAUUUCUACUACUACAAACACUGCUAUUGCUCCUUCGUAUUUACAUACAGGUUUCAUUUACAAAGAGUGUUGCCCUAUAUUUUCUAGUGUAAAACUGGAAAGCGGAUGCCACCUGUGUCCUGGAGGAGGCAAGCUGUUUCCUAAAUACAAGAAAGACCCAAGAUUUUCUUAUCAGCCACAUUUUUCUUCCUCAGUCAGCUACCACCUCAAGAAAUUUUUCUUUGACUGAGUCAACCCCUGCAUUCCUAUAGUUGGAUUCAUCUUGAUUAAAAACAAAGUUAAUUUGAUGGUGUUGGGUUUCUCUAUGUCCAACAGUGAGAGGACUGACUCAGAAUUCUUGGCUACUGCCACUCUAGCAAAGUAUCAUAUUAUUUUAAAAUGUUGUUGUUUACCAAAUCCAAAUGUUUCUACCUAAAAAUUGUUAUAUUUGAAUAUUUCCUCUGAGGGACAGAAAUGAUUGAUGCUACUUGCCUUCUUGAGUAUUAAUGAAAAGUUUCCCAUGAGUCCUUCAUUCAUCAGAGACAGAUGACAGGCUUUGUAAGCAGGUUUCCAUGUUGCUCUGUUUCUGCAGAGUCACCUAUACCCCAGUGUCUUUAAGGAGAAAAUGACUAUCAGUUCUGUUGCAAUCCAUAUUUAUUCUAAGCCAGUGCCUUUUGGAUGUUAGGGUAUUAUUUAAGAUCAAAUAAUCACUUUUUUCUUUAAUAGAUUUACCUUAUUAUUUCAGCCAUGGUACUUAUGGAAAUCAUUAAAAAGCACCAAUAACAAGAAUUAAACACAUAUUUGGUUUUGAAACAGGGAGGUAUUUGGCUCAUGGAAUUUCAGACAUGGAAUGGCCUCGAGGGUGCCCAUAGCUGAUAUGGAAGCAGGCUGGGGUGCUCCCUAACCCCGGCUCAAAGGAGUACACUUUCCUAAAGUCUUUCUUUGUCCCAAAGCCAGGUUUGCNNNNNNNNNNNNNNNNNNNNNNNNNNNNNNNUUCCGAUAUACAUAACAACCUCCGUUUUGUGCCAAGUAUUUAGGCCAUUCCUGAGGUGAAUAGGAGAGGUUCUGUGCAGCCUUCCUUCAUAAUUUGGAGAUCUCGGUGUUCAGUGAUCAUCUGUCUCUUCUUGUUGUGGCAUAAUUAAUUCACGAAUCUUGUGACUAGAACAACACUGACCCAUAAGCCCUAAAAUACUUCCAAGUGAAUUCAGCAUUCUUGAUACACCAAGGAUGAUGAUGCUUUGAAUCCCCUUUGCUCUAAGGGCUUCCUGCUGGCCACCCUCAAUUGAACAAAGUGGCUUUUUGGGUGAUAUAAUAUUUACAUAAAAUGGAGGAAAGGGAAAAGCAAACUAUUCUAAAACAGAAAAGAAUGGCAGUAAUGAUGGGUGGUCCUUUUACCCAUCAGGAAAUGGAAAAAAUGAAAGUUAUAUGAGAUCCUGACCUGAAGAUCAAUAGGACAGAAACAUAGUUGCCUGGGAGUGUUAACCUGUGACCCUCAUGCAGGUAAGGGUCAAUGUAGUUUGUACCAAUUUCGCUAAGUGCGUCCUUAAUAAGCCUGCCUCCAUAAAAUCACCAUGCCACAGAAUUGCUUUGAAAAAUGAGAGUUGCUAUGUGUGGUGGAUUUCACAUAGAAAAGACUGGAAAAGUGACUGUCCCCUUGCACACUUGCCACACUCGGGUCCGAAUGAACACUGUCAUCACUACAGACGGAAGCAGAACUCCUUCCUCCCUCUUUCAUGGGGAGGGGUGACAUGGUCCUGAAUGGCUUUCGGCCCCCUGAGUUUUAAAUUUGCGUCCCAGGGAAGGUAUGGCAAGAAGCCGUUGCUGUUGGCCCAUGUGGGUUGGGGAGGGGAGUAGAGGGUAGGAGACAGUCAAAUGAAACCAUCUCGCAGCUGUGAGCAAGCUCUGAUUCCGGCAGGCUGUGGAGCAUUUGACAGAGCUUUUCAGAAAUGGAACAUUUGAACUUGAUGUGAACACCUGGCGUUGUCUUUGUUCGAUGCAUCGUGGGGGGAAUCUCACACACACACUGCUUCUUCACUGAACACUGUAAUCACACGAGGUUGACACAGCUCUGUGGUCUAUUCAGGACUCCACCUGUGAAGAGGGAGGGUGGGUGGAGACUAUCAUGGGAUUAUGGGUAGAUGUCCCCGACACCACAGAGAUAGCGGUAAGCAGGUUUCGUUUUGGACAGGGAAAUGGUAACUUCUCAUUUAGUGCCUCCUGGUCCAGGGUCCUUCUACUUGGUUCCCUAUGCAAGAGUUCCUUCCUUCUUUCCUUCUUUCCUUCCUUCCUUCCUCCCUCCCUCCCUUUCUUCCACCACACCUGCAGCAUAUGGAAGUUCUCAGGCUAAGGUUAGAAUCAGGGCCACAGCCACUGGCCUACACCACAACUUUAUCUUCCUUGUUCAAUAUCAUAUCCCUGGAGUUUAUAGUAGUCCUGACAUCCAAUGCUAAUUAUUAAGUACUUAGUAAACAUUGGAAAAAUAAAUAAAUGGAUGCAUAGGAACAUUUUUGUGUGGUGGCCACAAUGAGAAUUUAAAUUUUUAUCACAAUCUAAGCAUAUUUUUAUGAUAUAUUUAAUAUUUUAAUCUGUAAAUUUUUGAACUGAUAAUAUUAAUUCAAAAUCUGGUAAUAAUUGCCUUUUUCUGGUUGGAAUGAGACCUUUGGUCUUUAACUGUAACCAGAAUAAGGCGACUAUUGCCAGAUUUUUAAUUAUCAUAAUUAAUAUUAUCAGCCCAAAAAUUCAUGGGACUAUCCCAGCAGGUAAAGUUUUUGAGGCCACUUGAGCUUCUCUGAGUCAUGUCUUUGUUUUUGUUUUCCUGAAAAUUGCAAAUCACUGUUGGAACCUGAAUCUUUUUACAUUUGGAAGGAUCAAAACAGUGAUAACUUACUGGCUUACAACUAAUAUUUCCAUGUUUUUAAAAUGCAUUUAUUUAUUUCUAUUUAUUUUGGAUGCCAUACCACAUAUGGAGCUCCCAGGCCAGGGAUCAGAUCUGAGCCACAGCUGCAACCUACACCACAGGUAUGGCAAUGCUGGAUCCUUUAACCCACUGUGCCAGGCCGAGCAUUGUACCUGUGUCCUGGUGCUGCAGAGAUGCCACUGAUCCCGUUGUACCACGGCAGAAACUCCAAUCUUUCUACAUUUCAAAUAUGCGAUUUUAGUAUCUUUUUAUAUGUGACUCGGUGAAGAGAAAGCUAUGAGACUUUGUUAGGAGACAAAGCUUUGACACCAUCUGCUAGAAAUAGGGGCUGUCUCUUCAUCUCCCUGGGCUCAGCUUUCUCAUUUGUAAAUGGGGGUCUUUGGGGCCAGGGCCUUCAGGAAACAUAUAUCUAUAUUAUUUUCACAUGUGGUAUUUUGGGAGGAAAGUCUGCCUACUUCUCAUCAGUGUUUCUUUCUGAAGGAUCCAUUUCUGCCCACAGCUUCUCAAACAGAUAGAUCAAAAUCACUCAAUCACCCGUCAGUCUGUCAAACAAACGAAAAACUUUUCCAGUGAGCAGCUGGUGUCUGGGUUUUUCCCCUUCUGGGUCUGUUUCUCUGGAAGCACGGGGUGAGGGCACGGGCUGCGGGUCCAUGAAGUUCUCUGCCGCAAGCCUGGUGCUUCCAGAGUCAGUGCCCAGAGCAAGCUUGUUGAUGUAAGAGAACUAUCCUGGGUCCUAGGGCCCCCUUCUCCCUCCCUCCUCCACCCCACUGGGUGGACAAACACAGAAGCAAACAGGAGGAGAGAGGGAGGCCCAGGGGGAAUUUUUACAGUGGAAUCGAAACUGUUGGAAUGAAAGGUGUCGCCUGAAGAUUUCCCAUCUCUCCCAGGGCAGAAAUGUAGGAGAUCUUAAGUUUAAAGGAUGGCAGAGAAAACAGAGUGAAAAAGAGGACCCUGGAAUGGGUUGGAAGUAGUACUGGAGUUGGAAAGAAAAGACCAAAUAGAAUAAACUUCUACUCUGCCCUCGAGACCACCCUAGAGACGGCUCGGUUUUCUCCCCUUGUCUUGGGCUUAUCCUCCUGAGCUGUCCCCAGUCUUUUUUCUCAGUCACUUCCUUAGCCAUGGCACCUGUUGAUACAGUGACUCAUAUUUCAGCCUUGCCAUCCCUUGGCAAACACUGCUCUUGAUCCAUGGCGUUCCUCACAGAAUCCCAAAGCAUCACAUGCUCUUAUAAUUGUUUCUCAUUUAAAGUGCACUCUAGGAGCUCCCGUAGUGGCUCAGCGGCAGCCUACCCAACUAGCAUCCAUGAGGAUGCGGGUCUGAUCCCUGGACCUGUUCAGUGGGUUAAGGAUACGGCAUUGCCAUGAGCUGUGGUGUAGGUCACAGAUGCGGCUCGGAUCUAGUAUUGCUGUGGCUGCGGUGUAGGCUGGCAGCUGCAGCUCUGAUUCGACCUCUAGCCUUGGAACCUCC